rnacentral:rRNA from 1 species
UACGGAGGGUGCAAGCGUUAUCCGGAUUCACUGGGUUUAAAGGGUGCGUAGGUGGGUUGGUAAGUCAGUGGUGAAAUCUCCGAGCUUAACUUGGAAACUGCCAUUAAUACUAUCAGUCUUGAAUAUUGUGGAGGUCAGCGGAAUAUGUCAUGUAGCGGUGAAAUGCUUAGAUAUGACAUAGAACACCAAUUGCGAAGGCAGCUGGCUACACAUAUAUUGACACUGAGGCACGAAAGCGUGGGGAUCAAACAGG